rnacentral:ncRNA from 1 species
AUAAAGUUUUAUUUUAGCUUUAAUAUUUAUUUUUAAUAUAAUUUAUAUACAAGUUUUUGCGUGAAUUUUAAUUUAUUUUAAUAAUAAAUUAGACUUAAUUAAUUGUAGUAAUUAGUUUUAUUAAUUAAAGAAAUUUAGAAAUAGUAAUAUUAAAUAGUAUUGACUAAAUUUGUGCCAGCAGUCGCGGUUAGACAAAAGAUGCAAAUAAAUAUUUUUAGUUUAGAGUUAAAUAGUUUAUUAAUAAAUUAAAAGUAAUUAUAUUAGGUGAAAUUUUAUAAUUAUAAUAAUUUUGAUUGAAUAAUUGAAGCUCAGAAAUUUUAGAUAUAAACUAGGAUUAGAUACCCUAUUAUUUAAAAUGUAAAUUUUAAACUAGAGUAUUAAUAGUUAUAUUCUUUAAACUUAAAAAAUUUGGCGGUAUUUUAGUCUGUUCAGAGGAACCUGUUUUGUAAUCGAUAAUCCACGAUGAACCUUACUUGAAUUUAUUUAUUAGUUUGUAUACCGUCGUUAUAGAAAAUUUUAUAAGAAUAAUAAUUUUCAAUAAAUUUAAUAAAAUUGUAUAUCAGAUCAAGGUGCAGCAUAUGUUUAAGUUAAUAAUGGGUUACAAUAAAUUUAUUUAUAUGGAAAUAAAUAUGAAAAAUUUAUGGAAAGUGGAUUUGAAAGUAAAAUUAUAAAGAUUAAUAAUUUGAUUUUAGCUCUAAAAUAUGUACAUAUCGCCCGUCACUCUUAUUAUUAAGAUAAGAUAAGUCGUAACAUAGUAGAUGUACUGGAAAGUGUAUCUAGAAUUCA